UAUAUUUAAAUAUAUAUUUAAUUAAAUAAUUGUCCAUUCAGCUACAAAAGUGUAUGUGUCUUUUAGAUGAAAAGGAAGCAAAGUAUAAACUAUGGACAGGACACGGUGCCAUGUUCCUCGGUGUGUUUUUAUCUAUCUUUAAGGUGAAGACUUUGUCAGAAUUCAGAACCAUCCAAUAUAUACUAUAGUUUCACAACCGCACAGGGAAGCCAUCAUGAACCACUUAAGGAUGUAUUGAUGUUAACGGUGCAUAGAGUUUUCAGAAGACUAAAAAGAAUAUUAGCUUAACACCAUUGGUCUGCUUUGGAUUUCGACUGACUUUAUCACCAAGGGUCCGCUGGAGGGUCCUAUAGAGAAUAAUGGAAAAGGUAAGGAAUUCAGCUAUGCGGACACUCUUUCAACUCUAACAAGCCAUGGCCAAAAGCUUUCAAAGAGCAUGUAGGUGGAUUGUCUCUGGAAUUGUGUUUUCACAACUUUAGAUCAUGCUUCUCACAUGGAUGGGAAUCUUUGCUUCGGUUUGUAAAGAACAACAUUGCAAAUGGUAGUAAAGAAGUUGCUCUUGCUACACUAGGUUGUUUGCAGUUAACAUUCCUCUCUUAUUCACCCAAGGCUAGUACAUGCCAUCUCGACCACCAGCAAAUGAUCUCACAAACCGAGUCUACAUCCAUUUACAUAUCGAAUGCCCUAGGUUCCUCAUCCAUCCUUAUCAUGGAGGUCCUCAGCCUUACCUUAUACCAACCAUGGAGUACAUGGACCUGUUGGUGGCGUUUCUUAGCGUGGUAGUCAUGGUUUCACUGCUGGUCAGGGGAAUGCAAUUGACAACAACAAUCAUUUAACUAGCAUGAAGAUUGUGAAAGAGGUUCAUAAGCGCAAUGAAGUUUUGAGUUUUUAUUCAAACGUUUAUUAGUUAUUUGUUUUAAAUAUUUAGACUUAGGUUGACACUUAUUUGACAUUUGUUUGAAACAUUUACAUUGUGU
rnacentral:lncRNA from 1 species